CUUGAUUGAUGGCUGCCUUUCCCACUCUAUGAGUGUUACUUAUAGUGUGACGGUUGAAAAUACUAUUUCCUAUAUAAUGACAGUGUAUACAUCUUUCCAUUGCUUGUUUUACUCAAUUACUUAACCCAUUUUCUAAACAUGUUUAAACCUCAUAAAUGCCAUCAACUUCUCAGCCCCAGCACAGCUGCCUCCUCCCUCAGGGUUUCUGACACUCUCAGGAUGUGGUUUUCACACUGUGUGUCUCGCACAGUAAUACACGGCCGUGUCCUCAGAUCUCAGGCUGCUCAGCUCCAUGUAGGCUGUCUGUAGACGUGUCUCGGUCAUGGUGACUCUGCCCUGGAACUUCUCUGCGUGUAUUAUUUCACCAUAUACAGGAUCAACACCUCCCAUCCACUCAAGCCCUUCCAGGGGCCUGUCGCACCCAGUGCAUGGAUAGUCAGUGAAGGUGUAUCCGAAACCUUGCAGGAGACCUUCACUGAGGCCCCAGGCUUCUUCACCUCAGCCCCAGACUGCACCAGCUGGACCUCAGAGUGGGCACCUGUGGAGAGGACAGAGGAGUGAAUGAGACACCACUUCACUGGACCCAGUCCCUCAUCAGCCCUGGAACUGAGGAUUCUCUUACCUGUAGCUGCUGCCACCAAGAGGAGGAUCCUCCAUAUCCAGUCCAUGAUAUUUAUGAAAUUACCAUGGAACUAUUCCCGCCAGUUUGUGCUGCUAACCAAAGAAUCACCCAAUUUAUAAAUUUAGAAAGGAGACUUUAUUUCUGGUAAAGAGUUGAUACUGCAGGGCAGCCAUCUUAACAGGUUGAGAAGCAAAGCCUCCCACAGAGACUGUGAGCAGGCACUUCAAGAUAGGGAGAGAUGAGAAAUGAAUUCAAACAAAUGGAUUGGCCAAGUGGACACACUCAGCAGCCUAUAGAAGGAGCUAUGGAUAUUCACAUGGCAUGCAGGCUCCAUAUGUAAUAAGCAAACACACAUGCUACAUGCAUUUCAGGUUUGCGUUGG
rnacentral:lncRNA from 1 species